rnacentral:lncRNA from 1 species
CCCUCCUUUAGAUAUUGAAAGGCUGCUACUUCUCGGGAGGUGCACUGUGUUGUCUGCCUUAACAAGAAUUGCAUUCAGAAGAUCCUUUCAGUUAACUGAAAACAUGCACCAGUAAGUGGAUGAAGACAAAGGACAAGGAAAACAAAACACUGUUAGCAGAUUUGGACUACUCCUGGAUAUGGGGCAGUUCUCAGUCCAUGAACAAGAAGAGUCCUCAGCAGGGCUGGAAGCAGAGGGCUACAGGGAGAUCUGUGGGCAGAUUAAUCACCCAAGCUCUCAGAUGCUCCAGAGAAGAAAUGCGUGAAUUACCCACCUGUGAUGUUACUGCUGCAUAUAAAGGUCUCUGGAGAAUCCAGUGUUGAAGAAAUGUGAACCUGUCAACAUCUGUAGUCACUCCAUCCAGCAUCCUGAUCCUCCAUCUUUCCGCCAACUGUAAAGUGAUGAAAAAAUGGUCCUACUGGAGGGAAAAAAAUUUUGGACAAUUAAUCAACUUUCAAUCCAGCUUUAACUGUUUGACAGUAUGUAAUAAAAUUGCUUUUUCUUUUUACCA